UAGGGGGCAAGCGUUGUCCGGAAUCAUUGGGCGUAAAGGGUGCGUAGGCGGCCUUGUAAGUUAAAUGUGAAAUCCUGCGGCUUAACCGCAGAACUGCAUUUAAAACUGCAUGGCUUGAGUAUGGAAGAGGUAAGUGGAAUUCUCUAGUGUAGCGGUGGAAUGCGUAGAUAUUAGGAGGAACACCAGGGGCGAAGGCGGCUUACUGGGACAUUACUGACGCUGAGGCACGAAAGCGUGGGGAGCAAA
rnacentral:rRNA from 1 species